rnacentral:lncRNA from 10 species
CACAAGGCCCCUUUAGGCAGAGCUUAGACCAGAGUUACAUCACCUGGAUGAUCAUUGCAGAGAUAUGUCACAAUGUCCCCAUAGGCAAAUCCAAGACAAGCGUUCGUCACCUGGGUGAUCAUUGCAGAAAUAUGUGACAAUGCCCUCAGGAGGCGGAGCCUACAGAAGAGUCCAAUCACCUGCGUGAUCAGUGCAGAGAUAUUUCACAAUGCCCCUGCAGGCAGAGUGUAAGCAAGAGUUACAUCACCUAGAUGAUCAGUGCAGAGAUAUGUCACAAGGCCCCCUAUACGCAGAGUCGGACAAGAGUUACAUCACCUCAGUGAUCAAUGCAGUGAUAUGUCACUAUGCCCCGUAGGCAGAGCCUAGUCAAGCGUUACAUCACCUGGGUGAUUACUGCAGAGAUAUGUCACAAAGUCCCCAUACACAGAGCCUAGACAAGAGUCCCAUCACCUGGGUGAUCAGUGCAGAAAUAUGUCACAAUGCCCCUAUAGGCCGAUCGAAGACAAGAGUCCUUCACCUGGGUGAUCAGUGCAGAAAUAUGUCACAAUGCCCCCUUAGGCAGAGCCUAGAUAAAAGCCCCAUCACCUGGAUGAUCAGUGCAGAGUUAUGUCACAAAUUCCCUUUAGGCAGAUCCUAGAGAAAGGUUACAUCACUUGGAUGAUCAGUGCAGAGAUAUGUCACUAUGCUACAGUAGGCAGAGCCUAGACUAGAGUUACAUGACCUCGGUGAUCAGUGCAGAGAUACAUCGCAAUGUCCCUGUAGGCAGAGCCUUGACAAGUGGUACAUCACCUGGGUGAUCAUUGCAGGGAUAUGUCACAAAGCACCCUGUAGGCAGAUCCUAGAGAAGAGUUAUAUCACCUGGGUGAUCAGUGCAGAGAUAUGUCACAAGCCCACUUUAGGCAGAGCCUAGACAAGAGUUACAUCUCCUCGGUGAUCAAUGCAGUGAUAUGUCACUAUGCCCCGUAGGCAGAGCCUAGUCAAGCGUUCCAUCACCUCGGUGAUCAGUGCAGACAUAUGUCACAAAGCCCCCAUUCACAAAGCCUAGACAAGCGUCCCAUCACCUGAGUGAUCAAUGCAGAGAUAUGUCACAAAGCCCCCAUACACAGAGCCUAGAGAAGAGUCCCAUCACUUGGGUGAUCAGUGCAGAAAUAUGUCAAAAUGCCCCCAUAGGCAGAUCCUACACAAGAGUUACAUCACCUGGGUGAUCUGCGUAGAGAUAUGUCACAAUGCCCCCAUAGGCAGAGCGUAGACAAAAGUCCCAUCACCUGGCUGAUCAGUGCAGAGUUAUGUCACAAAGCCCCUGUAGGCAGAGCGUAGACAAGAGUUACAUCA